rnacentral:rRNA from 1 species
UACGUAGGGUGCGAGCGUUAAUCGUAAUUACUGGGCGUAAAGCGUGCGCAGGCGGUUUGUUAAGUCUGAUGUGACAGCCCCGGGCUCAACCUGGGAAUGGCAUUGGAAACUGGCAAGCUCGAGUUUGGCAGAGGGGGGUGGAAUUCCGCGUGUAGCAGUGCAAUGCGUAGAGAUGCGGAGGAACACCGAUGGCGAAGGCAGCCCCCGGGGCUAAGACUGACGCUCAGGCACGAAAGCGUGGGGAGCAAACAGG